AUACGGAGGAUGCAAGCGUUAUCCGGAUUUAUUGGGUUUAAAGGGUGCGUAGGCUGUCUGUCAAGUCAGGGGUGAAAUGCCACAGCUUAACUGUGGAACUGCCUUUGAUACUGGCAGGCUGGAAUACGGAUGCCGUGGGAGGAAUGAGUAGUGUAGCGGUGAAAUGCAUAGAUAUUACUCAGAACACCGAUUGCGAAGGCAUCUCACGAAUCCGUCAUUGACGCUGAGGCGCGAAAGCGUUGGGAUCAAACAGGAUUAGAUACCCUGGUAGUCCACGCAGUAAACGAUUAUUACUAGCUGUUUGCGAUACACAGUAAGCGGCACAGCGAAAGCGUUAAGUAAUCCACCUGGGGAGUUCGCCGGCAACGGUGAAACUCAAAUGAAUUGACGGGG
rnacentral:rRNA from 1 species